GCUAAUGUGGCUGUAAUUAAAGAAUUUAAUCUAAGACGGCACUAUGAGACAAAACAUCAGGAUAACCUGAAAGACCUGAAUGCAAAGCAGAAGAUACAGAAAGCAGAAGAGUUAAAGAAGAAUCUGACACUUCAGCAGAUGUUUUUUACCCGUGCAAAAUCACAAAGUGAAGCUGCUUGAAGCUGCUUUUAUGGGAGACACAAAUGCACCAGUGCAACUUGCCCCACUUUCCCUGUUGCCAAGUAAUGUUGAAGCAAGUCGGCACAACGGUGUUCCCAAAUACGCACUUUGCUGAUAAACUGAGCGCACUGUGCACUGAGUUUGCACGGCGCUUUGGUGACUUUGAAGAACAAAAAAAAGAACCCAUUUGCCGUCGAUGUGGAAACUGCACCUGUGCAGAUUCAGAUGGAGCUGAUUGAGCUGCAGUGUAAUGGCACACUGAAGGCAAAGUACGAUACUGCAGGGCCCGCACAGUUUAUUCACUCCAUUCUCGCAGAAAUGCUCCAGCUCUGUCUACAUGCGGCUCGAACCUUGUGCAUGUUUGGUAGCACAUAUCUGUGUGAGUAGCUCUUCUCAGUGAUGAAGACUAACAAAACAGCACACAGGAGUCGUCUCACUGAUGAGCACCUGCAGUCCAUCCUGAGAAUCUCCACAACACAGAACCUCACACCAAACAUAAACGAA